UUGGAGGGCAAGUCUGGUGCCAGCAGCCGCGGUAAUUCCAGCUCCAAUAGCGUAUAUUUAAGUUGUUGCAGUUAAAAAGCUCGUAGUUGAAUUUCGGGAUCAAUAUGUUGGUCGUGCCUUGGUACGUACUAAUUUAUUGGUUUCUUCCUUCUGACGAACCUUGAUGUCAUUAAUUUGGUGUCUUGGGGAAUCAGGACUGUUACUUUGAAAAAAUUAGAGUGUUCAAAGCAGGCCUAUGCUCGAAUACAUUAGCAUGGAAUAAUAGAAUAGGACGUGUGGUUCUAUUUUGUUGGUUUCUAGGACCGCCGUAAUGAUUAAUAGGGAUAGUUGGGGGCAUUAGUAUUCAAUUGUCAGGGGUGAAAUUCUUGGAUUUAUUGAAGACUAACUACUGCGAAAGCAUUUGCCAAGGAUGUUUUCAUUAAUCAAGAACGAAAGUUAGGGGGAUCGAAGACGAUCAGAUACCGUCGUAGUCUUAACCAUAAACUAUGCCGACUAGGGAUCGGAUGAUGUUAAUUUUUAAUGACUCAUUCGGCGCCUUACGGGAAACC
rnacentral:rRNA from 1 species